rnacentral:rRNA from 1 species
UACGAAGGGGGCUAGCGUUGUUCGGAAUUACUGGGCGUAAAGCGCGCGCAGGCGGUUCUUCAAGUCAGUGGUGAAAGCCCGGAGCUCAACUCCGGAACUGCCAUUGAAACUGUAGAACUUGAGGAUGAGAGAGGUGAGUGGAAUUCCCAGUGUAGAGGUGAAAUUCGUAGAUAUUCGGAAGAACACCAGUGGCGAAGGCGGCCCGCUGGACAUGUAUUGACGCUGAGGUGCGAAAGCGUGGGGAGCAAACAGG